ACCGCUUAUGUUGACGGCCUUCGCGUGGCGAGCGGUGAACAACAGCCUGACGGCUGGCUAACGUCAAC
rnacentral:ribozyme from 1 species